AUUAUUAUUAUUAUUAUUAUUGAUUUAAUCACAAUCAUUUUUCAUCUUAGUUGGCCUGAACUCUCUUACAUUACAAAAUGAUUGAUAGCCAUUAACCACCACUAGCCAGAUAAUCGCAACAAUUAUGUUGACAUUUCUCCAGAAAAGUAAUCUUUUUUUACAGAUUGUCAUAUUAUACUUUUCCCUUGAUUUUCAGCUACAGGGGUGCCUAUCAUUAUAAGAAUGUUUCCAUUGUGGAUUAGGUAAUAUUUGUUGGUGAGAGCACUCUACAUAUUUCCUUUUUUUGGUUCUUUUUUAUUUAGAUGGCUCUGCCAGUCAAGCUCCAUUCAACACAUACUAGUGCCCCUAUAUUUUCACGUGUAAGCUGGUUGUUCAUUUCAUAUACGCAGUUCUCAAACCCUGGAGCAGAGUCAAGCGGCAGUGCAAAUCCACUUUCAUUAUAUGUCUUGUGCAGUCAGGUCUGACAGCUCCAAAAAAAAAGGAAAAAAAAGAAAAGUCAAAUAAACGCUGUGAUCGUUUUGCCAUGCGUGGCAAUUAAGGGUGUUUUGCACUGCAUACUUAGCAUGUUCUGUGGGACAGUUCUUAUUGCUCAGGUGCAUUAGCGUAAUGCUAGCUAAACUACCACCAUGCCAUGCUUCACAAAGCCAGGCCCUUGGUACCUCAUGGCUCAAUGUAACUGAAUACCUGUCGAUGUACCUUGGUCGAAUUUAUAUAACUCAACAGAAACCACCGCGCUGAAAGAUCCGUAAAACCUUCUAAUUUAAUCUGCUGUAAAAAUACGAUCACGCCGCUCUCAUACAUUACGUAAAAAAAAUCUCUAAAGAUACCUCUAAUGUUUAUCUGUCUAACGAAUGGUGAAUUUCAGUCAGCCCAUCAAUGCAGUGAUGCAAGAAAUUUUCAAUCACAGAUGAACUAAUAAAAAAUGAAGGCAACUUGACGACUCCACUAUUAUAACGUUUGACAAAUUGUGUGUUAGUAAACCUGACUUGAUUGAGGCUCUUUGAUGGAAAGUAAAAAUAAAUUUUGCAAUAAUUCUUCCACAUUCUCCUAAUAUGAGAGAUACAUAUUCAUUAGCAGAUGUUAAAGAGAGUGAUUUAUGUACAAGAUGGCUGUCGGCAUUAAGGAAGUGACAUGCCUUCUGAAACUCAAUGAUCAAUCUCCUACACUGGAGGUACCACACGAGGCAUAUGCCCAGAGCUGCAAACUCUUGAAAAUGUUAGCCAGGGCAUCUCUUUGCACUGCAAGUCAUCUGUGAUUGAUUUAGUGGUUUUUUAUUUUGUUAACAACAUAGCAUUUCAGUGUGGUCGGAUGGCUUGUUACACAUGCCUGCAGAUUCCCAAACCUCAGCCAGUUUUGUAAACUUCUGGGAUUGUUAGGAGAAAGCCCCCCACCCACCCCCACCCCAGGUUUAAUUGCAAUGGUCUGCUGUACUGAGUGGUACAAUGUACAAUUUAGUCAUUUGGCAGAGGCUUUUAGCCAGAGCGACUUACGAAAGCACAUUCGCAUGGUGCCACAGUUUUAAAUUAACAUGGAGUUUCCAGGGCUUGAAAUUCCAGCGCAUUAUUUGAAUGGUUUCGGUAAUGAGACGAAUCAGAGCGUGGCGGCCUGGUGAGGCCUUGCAUCCCCAGUGCCCGGGCCCCACCCCAGCCUGUUUUUGAAGGCCUCUUUAAGGAUCCGCUCGGUCCGAGCGCGUGGCACCAUAUGCCGGAAGAAGCCCUGGCCGUCAGAGCCAGAGGCCUCUCAGUCACUCGCCGUUCCUCUUCGUUUACCGCGCACAGCGAUGUAACCCAGCAACAGGAGUACUCGUCUUGGAAACAGAGAUUUUAUUCAAAGGGUAAUAAAAAAAAGAAUAUUGUGAAAAAGAGGGCAGCCAAGAGCUAAAUGACCAUAAUUUCCAAAAGAAAUGGCAUCUGUUAUUAUGCUCUAUUGUUUAAAAUGUCUUUUUGUGCUUAAUGUGUGAAUUAGUCACAGUCCUUUGAGAAUGUGGAUUCAUUUAUUGUGCUUUAAGUAUUAUGUACAGUGCAGUCCACAAGCAUUUGAACUGUGACAUAAGUUUUGUUGUUUUAGCUGUACUCCAGCCCGUUGGAUUUGAAAUGAAACAAUGAAUUUGAUAAAGUAUGAAGUGCAAACUGUCAGCUUUAAUUUGCAGGUAUUUAAAUUUGUAUCGUGUGAUCCAUGUAGGAAUUACAGCCCUUUUUGUACGUAGUCCCCUGUUUUAGGGGACCAAAAUUAAUUGGACAAUUUUUAUACUCAACAACCUGUCAUCGCACUGUAGUUGAUGACCAAGGAAUACUUUCAAUUGUUAAGAAAAGACCCUUUUCAACUGUCGAAUAGUUCAAGAACACUCCGGGACAUAGGCAUAGUGUCAAAGGCUACCAUAAACAGAAGACUACACCAGUUCACCACAAGAUUCAAACCAGUGGGAAGCCUUAUGAAUAGAACAGCCAGACAGGAGUUUACUAAAAAGUAUAUUAAUAAAACAUCAAGUUCUGGAACAAAGUCUUGUGGACAGAUGUGUUAACCUGUACUGUAGUGAUGGAUACAGGAAAGUGUGGAGAAAGACAGGACCUGAUCUUGAUCCAAAGCCCUUCCCCCCCUCCCCCAUCUGUGAAGCAUGGUGGGGGUAGUGCUAUGGCUUGGGCAUGUAUGACUGCCACUGAAACAGGCUAACUUGUCUUAACUGAUGAUGACUUCAUUGGCUGUUGAUGGUAGCAGCAGGAUGAAUUCUGAAGUGUACAGAAACAUCUCAUCUGCUCAGAUCUAACCAAAUGCCUUACAUCUCACUGGAUGGCACUUCACCUUGUAGCAGGACCAUGCCCCCAAACACACUACUGGAGCAAUCAAGAAGCUUUUCAGAGCCAAAAAAGUUGAAUGUUCAUGACUGGCCAAGUCAAUUACCCAACUUGAAUUCAACUGAACAUGUGUUUCACUUGCUGAUGCAAAAUGCCCCUGAAACAAACAGGAGCUGAUGAUGGCUGCAGUACAGGCCUGGCAGAGCAUCACUAGGGAAGACGCCCAGUGUUGGGUGAUGUAUAUGGGUUACAGUCUUCAGGCGGUCAUUGAAUGAAAACAGUACUAAAUAUGACAACUUUAUUUAAGAUUAUGUGUCUGAAAAGUUCCGUAAUUCCUUCACAAAUGGCCUGCUAUGGAAGUAAAUACAAUAAUAAUGGAUGCAAAUGCAAAUAAAAAUGGACAUUCUGCACGCACUUUAACCUCAUAACAAAAUUGUGUCGCUCUCCAAAUACUUUAGAACCCUACUGUAUAUAGUGAACACACACACACACACACACACACACACACUCUUAUGCACACGUGCGUGCAGCAGCAGGAGUACUCGCCCGCGUUGGGGCCGCGUAUUUGUAUUUUUGCCCCAUCACGUUCCGGACUGAGCAGGCCCCGUCCCUGGGCGACGCGCGGAGUGUGAAGCCUUAGCCCGGAUUACAGGACUUCAGAGAUAGGAUUGAAUCCAGCCGGCUGUCAGACAUGAAUUGAUGGGAUUAGAAAGGGUGGAUUCCGUCCCUUUGGGGAAGCCAAGCAAGCUGUAUAUAAUUGACUUUUUUCUCUCUCUCUCCCUUCCGCCCUCGCUGUCUUGCGGGCCCCCGGAUCUUUGGGCGGGGGGACCCUGGGAGGAGGACGGCGAGCUGAAUGGAGGCGGCGAGCCGUGUGAAGUCUCGGGGAACGAGCUCGUCUCCAGGUAGACGCGGGGCGGAAGUGGGCAGCCUCCUGAAGGAAGGAUCGGGAGGGCGGAGGAGAGGAUGGAGAGAGAAGGCUGGAUCUCACUGUACCUGAGGGGAGGGUGUGGGAGCUGGGAGAACUGUUUGGAGGCCUGCCAGCUGUCCUCACACAGUGCAUCCCUGUGAGUUUGGAGGGGGUUCUGCCCAGUGAGAGAGGUCCAGCCCUGCCGGGUCACCUGUGUUUUUCAGCUAACUCUACCCCUGUUGAUCCAGCCAGCAGCCAGCCAGCGGCUAAUGGGUCACCCAUCCAGAAACAGAUGCACUGGGGCUAAUUUGUUUGUACGGCCCCAGCCCUGAGCACCUGGCCCUGGGCCUCCUCCUCCUGACCAGAUCAGCGCUGCUGCAGUCUCCAGCGCUCGCUGCAGGGGACAUGUCAAACGGCAGGGAGCAGGGUGAGUGCCCUUCACUCAGUCACACAUACUGACACCGGGCGGCCUCUUGCAAACAGUGCAUCUGAAAUGGUAUGGUGCCUGAACCAGUAGUCCUCCUUUUUUGAAAUAAAGAACAAACAACAACAUUGAAGAAUGUGUUUUUUUUUUUAUUAUUGCAAAGACAUGUCCCAUUGUUUGAAUCUUUUGGGGAAAAAAUACAGCCACACUAUAGACAGUUUUGCUUUAGGCAUUUUUAAUACCUUGUGUUUAAUGUUAGCUUGCUAACGGCACCUGAGUCGACAGAGCGAGUGUAUUAUGUUAGUGAAAAUGGCACCGAAAUUAAGCACCAAAAUCUGUGUUUUGAUCAGAAUGUUCAAUACUUAUAGUUAGGAAAUGUCAUGAAGGGGGAGCCAUAUGGAUUUCAUGGUGGCAGAUUCAUUUUACAUGUGCUGAUUUUCUAAAAGUGACAACGGUCAAGUUUACCACUGUGGCGUUUAUAGUGUUAGAUACAUUUUAACAAGGCUACUGUAGCUACCUUGCUAACACUUUUUAAAAUGAAUGCUAGCUAAGGCUAUAGAUUAUCUACCAUCGCCAAAACAGUUAGUAGGUCUUACAUGGGCCAAGUAGCAUUAAAUGAUUUCGGAAAAAUUGCUUUGGAAUUGUGCUUGUUUAAUUCGUUUGAGCUAAAAUAGCCGAUAUUGUUUCUCGUGACCUCAGUUUGAUAUCGAUACCUUUAACGGUAGGCCUUGAUCUUGCCAGUUUUAAUUAAUGACUUACAGACAGUGCUUUGUUUGUGUGCGUAACUUGCCAUUUUUGUUUGUUGAAAAUGUGUUUUUGUUGAGAUGAUAUACUGCAUAUACAGCACACUCAAUACUACAUGCUUGUUUCCUCAGUGAGAAAGACACAAAUUCAAAGUAGUUUGACUUCAGUCUGUACAUCUGACAGAUGUUUCUAUGGAAAUAUAUGUAUACAGGUACUGUAUAAAAUAAAAGCCUUAUUUUUCAUGUAAUACGAUUUGUUGUACUCAUAUUAUAAACAUACCUUUGAAUGGCUUUCCCCCUGUGUGAGUUGCUACAGUGCAGUAUGUCAUAUUGGGAAAGCAAUACAUCCCACUGUCACCUCCAAACAUGGGAAGACAUGUAGGAAACAUCCCAGACAGUAGGGACAUUUGUUGUUUCUCCUUGUGUGUAGUGUGAAGUCUUCUAGCCGUAUGUGCAGGUGAUAUAUACACUGUAGCUAAAAAUGUGAUAAAUGUGCUAAAUGGACUAAGCCAUGCUAGCAAGACGCUGCCAAGGAAUGUUAUAAAAAUAAAAGUUACUUUUUAAAAAUACAUUCUUUCAUACUACUUCUUCACAUCUGUUUUGUAUUUUAUAUGGAUUUACUCUAAAUUAUUUACGCGUUUAUUCUGACAUAUAAUAAUUCAAAUGUUUUUGGAAGGUAUGAGGAUGCAUUCUGUUAUAAAUUAUAAUGCAUGCCAGAGUAUUUUGGUAAGAAAAAUGAUAAUAAAUUAAUCAAUGCACCUUUUGUUGCACAGCCAUGCUGUGUUAUGGAUGUUCACAUGAGGAGAGUUAAGAAGGACUGUGAGAAGGGCUAUUAUUCAGCAUCAUCUGCCCCUCAGAACACAAAUCUAAAAUACUAUUAAAACUAAAAAUAGCAUUACUGUAGCAUGCGUAAAGAUCUUCUCUGUGGUGCUCAGUUCAAAAGGAGCACAGAACGUAUCGCCAGAGAGCCGGGUCACCACCGGGGAACCCGAAAAGGACAGGGUGAAUCUGGGGCCAUGAGGAAGCUUUGCCGGGAGAAGGAAGUGCAGAUGGGAACCGGAGAAGCAGGAAUCAGUCAGGCUCAAGCGAACCAGCGAGCCGAACGCUGCAGUGGCACAUGGGGAUUGUGCUUUAAAAAAAAAAAAUGAACAUUUUGAAUGAGCGUUUAUGUAAGCACACACUUGCAUAAGGAGAUUGGGGCAGAAUCCACUGGUUAACCUCCAGAGUUAAUUCAGUAUCUUUGGUGUGUGGUACCCCACGCACAGUCUAUAAAAACACCACAUCUUGGAGAUUGCAUUGUCUGAUCCCUGCACCGACCACCCCCUGGAUUGUGUUCAUGUUGUUGCAUUGUGUGUGCCAUUGAAAUACUGGACUGGAUGUCUGUGUAUUCUCUUUGAUGCCCCAUUGUGACAACAAGUGAUACUUCCCCAGUGCAAGUUACUGUAACCUGGAACGAGGAACAGCAAGUAACCCUACAUCCUUUUCAUCCCAGACAGUAACCCCAACACGAUGUCUGGAACGAGGCAUGCCAGCACAAGGAUUCAUUCUUUAAUUAAUUUAUUAUUCAUUGUAGUCAAUAUGCUACCAUCAUCACUGUUCACUCUCAGCCGAACGAAAUGUGUUUGAUUAAAACCGCUGUAGUCAGACUUUCAUCACAACGAAAACCUUGAAUCUGUUUGCGUUUUUGCAUGUUUUCUUUAAAUUUAUUUUACAUUUUUUCAUUGAACAAGAACUCCUGGUAAAAUAUAAUUAUCUCUUUGUUGAGAUAAGGUUUAGCUGUAAGUUUGAAUUGAAAUGUAAAGAGAACCAAAGCGGCGGACGCUUCCUCCUUUUAUGGCUAAUUCUUUUACUGAUCUCCCUGACUUAAACGCUGUAACUGUGGAAAUGGACAUUUUGGAUGAAAGAAGGUAUAAUUUAGCACUAGGAUUAAUUCUGAAACAGAAUUCUGAAACGCUGCAUGAAAUGUUUGCAAAAACCUCUCUGUUUCUCACAUUGCUACCAGAUCCAAUUAAAUCAGUCACAUAUAGCUGAUAA